ensembl:lncRNA
AGUCACAUCACCUCCGCGAGUCCUCAUUGGUUGGUGGGCGGGGCUCAAAGGUGAGGACUCCAGCGGGAAUUCCUUGCCAACAGGAGGGGUAGGCCUCCUGUCCUCCUACAUGAAGAAAGCUGCCUGUUGCCCAGUUGGACAAAGAAAAUUCCCAUGGCAUAUUGCACCCAUUGACGUGAGCAGUAAUGAGUAUGGUGAAACAACUGCUGUCAUCUGGGAGCACUUUGGUCCUCCCACUGUCCCUCCCCAGGCUCAGCAGGGAUGAGGCCCCCUCUGGGGAGAACAAAGGCAGCUCGGCAGAUGGCAGAUGCUGCUAGGAGGAGAAAGCCCUUCCUGGGAGGAAGGCAGGAUUAACACGCUGAGAAUUCCAUGGAUGGAGGAGCCUGGUGGGCUACAGUCUGUGGGGUCACAAAGAGUUGGAUAUGACUGAGCAACUUUCACUUCACUUCAAGAAGCACAGUAAAUGGCACAGCAGGGAGGAGAGAAAAAGAGGAAGGACAGAAGAAUGGAGGGAGAGGACUUUCCUGGUGGUCCAAUGGUUAAGAAUCGGCCUGCCAAUGCAGGAGACACAGGUUUGAACCGUGGUCCAGGAAGAUUACGCGCGCUGCGGAGCAAUAAAGCCCAUGCCCCACCACUACUGAGCCUUAGCUCUAGAGCUGGUGCUCUGCAGCAAGAGAAGACACCACAAUGGGAAGCCCGCACACCACAACGAGAGAGAAGACUCCGCUCGCCACAGCUAGAGAAAGCCUGUGCAGAGCAACAAAGACAGUGCAGCCAAAAAUAAACAAACAAUUUAAUUUGAGGGGGAAAAAAAGGGAAGGAGGAAGAAAGGAGACCUGUAUCUUGUGCUUUCUUUCAAAGCCCCUUUAUAUUUGUAUAAAGUAUCCGUGUUUAUUUUUUAAAUGUAAAUGACAGGUAACAUGCUCUAUACACUGUUCUAUCCUUGCCUUUUCUACUUGACAGUAGAUAUUGGUUUGUACCAGUUUAGUCUCCCACCAAUAAUGCAUGGAUGCUCCCCAUCCUUGCCAAUACACUAGUCUGUUUUCCAUCUUUGUUGAGUUUUGAAGGAUGAAAAAUGACAUCUCAUUGUAAUCUUCACUUGCAGUUCCCUCAUUAUGAGAUUGGGUAUCUUUUUAUCUGUACAAGAGCAAUGAAUUUUUCUUUAUCUUUGAUAUUUAUUGACAUCCCUUACCCAUUUAUCAGUGGGAUUUUUCAUUUUUUAUAUUGAUUUGUAGUGGUUCUUUCUAUAGAAAAAAAGUAGGCAUUUGUCUGCCAUGUCUGCAAAUAUCUUUUAGCAAUUUAUCAUUUGUUGCUUAAUCUUGUGCUUUUUUCCAGUGCAGGGAUAUAUUUUUAAGUAGUU